rnacentral:rRNA from 1 species
ACGGCGACCGGCGCACGGGUGAGUAACACGUAUGCGACCCGCCCGUAGCAGGGGGAUAAGCGGAAGAAAUUCCGUCUAAUACCGCGUAAUAUCUUUCGGGGGCAUCCCUGAGGGAUUAAAGGAAGCGAUUCCGGCUACGGAUGGGCAUGCGGCGCAUUAGCUAGUCGGCGGGGUAACGGCCCACCGAGGCGACGAUGCGUAGGGGUUCUGAGAGGAAGGUCCCCCACACUGGUACUGAGACACGGACCAGACUCCUACGGGAGGCAGCAG